GGGACCUUCGGGCCUCAUGCCAUCAGAUGUGCCCAGAUGGGAUUAGCUAGUAGGUGGGGUAACGGCUCACCUAGGCGACGAUCCCUAGCUGGUCUGAGAGGAUGACCAGCCACACUGGAACUGAGACACGGUCCAGACUCCUACGGGAGGCAGCAGUGGGGAAUAUUGCACAAUGGGCGCAAGCCUGAUGCAGCCAUGCCGCGUGUGUGAAGAAGGCCUUCGGGUUGUAAAGCACUUUCAGCGGGGAGGAAGGCGAUGAGGUUAAUAACCUYAUCGAUUGACGUUACCCGCAGAAGAAGCACCGGCUAACUCCGUGCCAGCAGCCGCGGUAAUACGGAGGGUGCAAGCGUUAAUCGGAAUUACUGGGCGUAAAGCGCACGCAGGCGGUCUGUCAAGUCGGAUGUGAAAUCCCCGGGCUCAACCUGGGAACUGCAUUCGAAACUGGCAGGCUAGAGUCUUGUAGAGGGGGGUAGAAUUCCAGGUGUAGCGGUGAAAUGCGUAGAGAUCUGGAGGAAUACCGGUGGCGAAGGAAGCCCCCUGGACAGAGACUGACGUUCAGGUGCGAAAGCGUGGGGAGCAAACAGGACUAGAUUAGAUGGUAGUCCACGCCGUAAACGAUGUCGAUUUGGAGGUUGUGCCCUUGAGGCGUGGCUUCCGGAGGUAGCGCGUUAAAUAGGCCGCCUGGGGAGUACGUCCGCAAGCAUAAAACUCAAAUGAAUUGACGGGGGCCCGCACAAGCGGUGGAGCAUGUGGUUUAAUUCGAUGCAACGCGAAGAACCUUACCUGGUCUUGACAUCCACAGAACUUUCCAGAGAUGGAUUGGUGCCUUCGGGAACUGUGAGACAGGUGCUGCAUGGCUGUCGUCAGCUCGUGUUGUGAAAUGUUGGGUUAAGUCCCGCAACGAGCGCAACCCUUAUCCUUUGUUGCCAGCGGUUAGGCCGGGAACUCAAAGGAGACUGCCAGUGAUAAACUGGAGGAAGGUGGGGAUGACGUCAAGUCAUCAUGGCCCUUACGACCAGGGCUACACACGUGCUACAAUGGCAUAUACAAAGAGAAGCGACCUCGCGAGAGCAAGCGGACCUCAUAAAGUAUGUCGUAGUCCGGAUUGGAGUCUGCAACUCGACUCCAUGAAGUCGGAAUCGCUAGUAAUCGUAGAUCAGAAUGCUACGGUGAAUACGUUCCCGGGCCUUGUACACACCGCCCGUCACACCAUGGGAGUGGGUUGCAAAAGAAGUAGGUAGCUUAAC
rnacentral:rRNA from 1 species